rnacentral:rRNA from 1 species
GUGGGGAAUUUUGGACAAUGGGCGCAAGCCUGAUCCAGCAAUGCCGCGUGUGUGAAGAAGGCCUUCGGGUUGUAAAGCACUUUUGGCAGGAAAGAAAUAGUGCGUGCUAAUACCAUGCGCGAAUGACGGUACCUGCAGAAUAAGCACCGGCUAACUACGUGCCAGCAGCCGCGGUAAGACGUAGGGUGCAAGCGUUAAUCGGAAUUACUGGGCGUAAAGCGUGCGCAGGCGGUUUUGUAAGAAAGGUGUGAAAUCCCCGGGCUCAACCUGGGAACUGCACUUGUGACUGCAAGGCUAGAGUGUGUCAGAGGGAGGUGGAAUUCCGCGUGUAGCAGUGAAAUGCGUAGAGAUGCGGAGGAACACCGAUGGCGAAGGCAGCCUCCUGGGAUAACACUGACGCUCAGGCACGAAAGCGUGGGGAGCAAACAGGAUUAGAAACCCCUGUAGUCC